CCUACGGGAGGCAGCAGUGAGGAAUAUUGGUCAAUGGGCGUAAGCCUGAACCAGCCAAGUCGCGUGAGGGAUGAAGGUUCUAUGGAUCGUAAACCUCUUUUAUAAGGGAAUAAAGUGUGGGACGUGUCCUGUUUUGUAUGUACCUUAUGAAUAAGGAUCGGCUAACUCCGUGCCAGCAGCCGCGGUAAUACGGAGGAUCCGAGCGUUAUCCGGAUUUAUUGGGUUUAAAGGGUGCGUAGGCGGCCUUUUAAGUCAGCGGUGAAAGUCUGUGGCUCAACCAGAGAAUUGCCGUUGAAACUGGGAGGCUUGAGUAUGUUUGAGGCAGGCGGAAUGCGUGGGGUAGCGGUGAAAUGCUUAGAUAUCACGCAGAACCCCGAUUGCGAAGGCAGCCUGCCAAGCCAUGACUGACGCUGAUGCACGAAAGCGUGGGGAUCAAACAGGAGUAGAUACCCUGGUAGUC
rnacentral:rRNA from 1 species